AAUGAACGCUGGCGGCGUGCCUAACACAUGCAAGUCGAACGAGAAACUCCGAGCUUGCUUGGAGGAGUAAAGUGGCGAACGGGUGAGUAACGCGUGGGUAACCUGCCCCUGAAUCUGGGAUAACAUCGCGAAAGCCUUGCUAAUACCGGAUAUUGUCGUUGGGGUAUUGCUCUAAUGAUGAAAGGUGACCUCUCCACGGAAGUUGCCGUUCAGGGAGGGGCCCGCGUACCAUUAGCUUGUUGGUGGGGUAACGGCCUACCAAGGCGACGAUGGUUAGCUGGUCUGAGAGGAUGAUCAGCCACACUGGAACUGAAACACGGUCCAGACUCCUACGGGAGGCUG
rnacentral:rRNA from 1 species